UUGAUGAUGCUCGUGGUGGUGAUAUUGGUGCUUGCCGGCGCUACACGACUGGAGAGACAGUGAGAGGAGCAUCAGCGCCAGCAGCAUGUUACACACACGACGCGCACAACUCGACAUAGUGACCGGCUGGUGGCUUGCUGGGAGUGGAAACUUUGGACCUGCAAUUUCAAGGGAGAGUCAUAUCCUGCGCAGACCCAACCACAAGUCGUCACUAUGUCGAGUUCCGGAAGUCGUGUGUGUAACAUGCUGCUGGCGCUGAUGCUCCUAUCGGUUUGUCUCCAGUCCUGUCAAGCCGGAAAGCACAACUACCACAAACACGAGCACCACGUCAAGGCCCACCACAGCCACAGCCACAGCCACAGCCACAAACACAAACAUGAGCACCAUCACUAUCAGCACGACAGCGGCAGCAGCAGCAGUAGCAGCGGUAGUCUGGACUCUCUACUUCUUCUGUUUCCUCUUCUUAUGGGGGCACAAGGAUAGCUUAACUGUCACCUUCUGAGUCGGAGAAGACGAUUCAUUGGGCAAUUGACUUAACGAAUCGUGGGAGCAACUUGGUUGUCUUUAAUUAAGAAAAGAUAAUAAAUGAUGCA